rnacentral:lncRNA from 1 species
AAAAACAUAAUUUUCAAAUUUCCAUACGGAAAAAGAAGAUAUAAAACCGGCUUCACAAAGCAACAAAAGUGGUCAUAACUCGUAAUAAAAAACACAAAGGCGACUGCAUAUAUUUCUUUAGGAUAUCAUCGACACAGAUAAAUAACGUUGGUUAUUAAUAUCUAGACUCCACCUAAGAAUCAACUCUCUUCGCUAAGCCUUUCUCUGUCCAUUUCAUUAUCCUUAGAACAUGUCCCAACCGGACAUCAAAUUUGGACAUGUUUGGAGAAAUUGGUUCAUCCAGUUUAUCAGAAAUUUGUUUCGAAUCUCCCAUUAAAUAGAAGAGCAGACCUAUGUUCAACUAGAAAUAUCAGUACUUCACUUCCGAAUUAUACCUGGAGAGGGAAAGCAAAAGAAUUUUAGUGUCUGAAUCAGAAAAUAAUUUCGAAUUCAUGAUGGUCUCAAACUCUAGAAUUUGGAGAGGCAAAAUAUCAGGAAAAUAAAUAAUGAUUAAGCAUUUAUAUAAGCCAUAUUAACAAACAAAACAAGGGUUUGCUACAAAGAAAAAAGAAAAGGAAACAUUGUCUUCUUUGAAUCUCAAUAGAGUAAUUCAUUGAGUUUGUAGUGCAAAAGAAUAGCCGGACAAAUCUCCUUUGGCAGAGUGCACACUACACUACAUCAAAGAAUGAGCUUUAAAUUUCACCAAAAAAAAAAAAGAAUGAGCUUUAAAGUGACAUUCUGCCAAUGGAGAAAUUGCCCUGUAAUGCAGUUGCACCUUAAGUCAUCGCCCUUGG